ACACUCCUACGGGAGGCAGCAGUGGGGAAUUUUGGACAAUGGGCGAAAGCCUGAUCCAGCAAUGCCGCGUGAGUGAAGAAGGCCUUCGGGUUGUAAAGCUCUUUUGUCAGGGAAGAAACGGUGAGAGCUAAUAUCUUUUGCUAAUGACGGUACCUGAAGAAUAAGCACCGGCUAACUACGUGCCAGCAGCCGCGGUAAUACGUAGGGUGCAAGCGUUAAUCGGAAUUACUGGGCGUAAAGCGUGCGCAGGCGGUUUUGUAAGUCUGAUGUGAAAUCCCCGGGCUCAACCUGGGAAUUGCAUUGGAGACUGCAAGGCUAGAAUCUGGCAGAGGGGGGUAGAAUUCCACGUGUAGCAGUGAAAUGCGUAGAUAUGUGGAGGAACACCGAUGGCGAAGGCAGCCCCCUGGGUCAAGAUUGACGCUCAUGCACGAAAGCGUGGGGAGCAAACAGGAUUAGAUACCCGAGUAGUCCC
rnacentral:rRNA from 1 species